rnacentral:rRNA from 1 species
UUUNGANUAUAGGNUUUGGUUCUUUUUCUUUUGGCCCNNNCCCCGGGNAAAUCUUCCACAAUGGACGAAAGUCUGAUGGGAGCAACGCCGCGUGAGUGAAGAAGGGUUUCGGCUCGUAAAACUCUGUUGUUAAAGAAGAACAUAUAUGAGAGUAACUGUUCAGGUAUUGACGGUAUUUAACCAGAAAGCCACGGCUAACUACGUGCCAGCAGCCGCGGUAAUAA